GGUUGCGAUCAUACCAGCACUAAUGCACCGGAUCCCACUCCGCAGUUAAGCGUGCUUGGGCGAUAGUAGUACUAGGAUGGGUGACCCCCUGGGAAGUCCUUUUUUUUUCCGUUU
rnacentral:rRNA from 1 species